AAACCCUCCCUAGUGCU
rnacentral:tRNA from 1 species